rnacentral:rRNA from 1 species
CACGUAGGAGGCGAGCGUUGUCCGGAAUCAUUGGGCGUAAAGAGCGCGCAGGCGGCUUGGCAAGUCGGGUGUGAAAUCCCGGGGCUCAACCCCGUGACUGCAUCCGAUACUGUCAGGCUAGAGGUAGGUAGGGGAGAUCGGAAUUCCUGGUGUAGCGGUGAAAUGCGCAGAUAUCAGGAGGAACACCGGUGGCGAAGGCGGAUCUCUGGGCCUUACCUGACGCUCAGGCGCGAAAGCGUAGGGGAGCGAACAGG